GACGAACGCUGGCGGCGUGCUUAACACAUGCAAGUCGAGCGGAGCGGCGAACGGGCGAGUAACGCGUGAGUAACUGCCCCCCUCUCUGGGAUAACAGUUGGAAACGGCUGCUAAUACCGGAUAGUGGGGGAUGACUCGGGGCCUAUCAGCUUGUUGGUGGGGUAGUGGCCGACCAAGGCGACGACGGGUAGCCGGCCUGGGAGGGCGACCGGCCACCAUGGGCUGAGGUACGGCCCAGUGUCCUACGGGGGGCAACGGUGGGGAGUAUUACGCAGUGGGGGAGACCCUGGUGCGGCGGCGCCGCGUGCGGAAUGACGGCCUUCGGGUUGUAAACCGCUUUCAGCCAUGACGCGGUAGUGGCAGAAGAAGCACCGGCUAACUACGUGCCAGCAGCCGCGGUAAUAC
rnacentral:rRNA from 1 species